rnacentral:rRNA from 1 species
UACAGAGGUGGCAAGCGUUGUUCGGAAUUACUGGGCGUAAAGGGCGCGUAGGCGGCUUGGUCAGUCCCGUGUGAAAUCCCUCGGCUCAACUGAGGAACUGCACGGGAAACUGCCUGGCUUGAGUUCGGGAGAGGGAAGCGGAAUUCCGGGUGUAGCGGUGAAAUGCGUAGAUAUCCGGAGGAACACCGGUGGCGGAGGCGGCUUCCUGGACCGACACUGACGCUGAGGCGCGAAAGCUAGGGGAGCAAACGGG